ensembl:lncRNA
CAUUAAUAUUCACUAUAUAUGAAGAAACCAACUGAGUAAUAUUCGCACCUGACGGAGGAUGGCUUCCUUGUUUGCCAGUUCAUUUUCUAGCUUAUCAUUCAUGUCAUGUAUGGAGGUGGAUUCUCUCUGAGCACUGAGGAGGCCAAAACACAGCUGAAUGGAUGUUGAUGAUGGUGGAAUAGGUGAAGGUGAAGACAGAGAGGACUCUAUUUCUGAGGUAGCCUCUGAAUCUAAAAUUCUAAUCAUCAUUACAACAGCAGACAGUGAUAAUGCUACAGAUCUAGGAUCCAAGAGGAAGCCUUUCAGGCUAAGCUUCCAGUGAAUAGCAGAGGUGGAUGUAACCACAGGCCCCGAAGGACAAUUUUUGGAUCACAAGCUCUCACAGUGAGAAGCAGAUGUACCAGUAAAACUGCUAGUGGGACACUUGGAGCACUACAAAGGAUCUCAAAAUUAGCAACUUGUUGCACUGCAAGAUCUAUUUGAAGUACAGUACAUAAAGCAGUGCACUGUCUUAGGUGAUUUUAUCAGAUACCAGCCUGACAUCUACCAUUUACAUUCUCACAAGAUUUUCUUUUCCCAAUUAAAACUUAUAUACUAAUCAAAAUGACUGAACCAAGCAUGGCUUUCCUGACAUAAAACCCAAUAUUUUAACUAUUUCCAGAAAUCAAUGGGAUUGAGUCACAAAUUCUGAUUAGCUUCAUUUUCUACAUUGAUCAAAGGAAGAGGCUAAGGAGGGAGCUUGCCCCAUCUUUGAAUAAAUGAUGAAGCAGGUACUAGUGAGGUGGUCCUGUAAUAAGACUACCAAAGUGUUCCUGAAAACCCCGGGGGGAACAGGUGGUGUAUGUGGCUCAACUGCAUUCUCAACAUCCUUUACUAGACAAAAGCAGAUGAAAGUCUAAGAUUCACAAACCUAAUAAUGUAAAUUCCUUUUCAUCUACCAAAGUCAGAAACGUGUAGUAAAGAAGGUAUAAAGGCAAGAAGCUUCUCAUUUAAUGUUUUUUUUCCCAACAGACAAGCAAAUACAGAUUUUUGGUGCUGUCUAGGUAUAAAAUGAGAUUUAUUACUUGAAAUGACUGAAUAUUAUAUGAAAUAUUAUUAAUAAAUAGACAUGGAAAAGUGAGGUGUUGGCUUGGGCAGGGGGAGUCUUUCCUUCCAGAGUGGUAGCUAAAAUCUCAGUAUGUUUCAGUCUCAUGAUCAAAUGAAAUACAUGGGAUAAUAUUUGAGCGAGUGAACGCAAAAUGCUCUUCAGGCUGUUAUAAAUACAGAGUCUGACUUCAUAAACCAAACUUCUUAUAAAUCCAUACAUAGUCUUAAAACAACAGAUAAAAAUGAAUCUCCCUGAAGAUGGCUUUAGUGCUGAAAUGCUUUAGUUUUUCCAUUUAGAAAUGCAGGUUCUGAGAUUUGUUAACAGUUACAUUUAAAAGGGCAAAUAGGGACUUAGAGCUUUAUUUUCACAACAGGUAGGAGCUAAACUAACCAUGGACCGUACAGCACUGCAGUCAACAUCAGCCACACUUUGAGAGAACAAAAGAAAAGCAAAAAAAACCCCACCUUUUCAGAUUGCAAAAAUAACUUUGGAAGGUGGGGAAUAAAACCUUCAGCAGUGACAAUGAAUGCACUUUGGGCUCCUGUACGAGGUUUUCAUGCCAAGGUUUUGAUAGUGGAGGUGGCUAAAGAGGUGGCUUCUGUGAGCAGCUGCCAAAAGCCUCCCCCAUGUCUGAGAGAGCUAACGCCAGUCAGCUCCAAGACAUGCAUGAUCGUGGCCUAGGCUGAGCCCAUCAGUGACAGUGGCACUGGGGUAACUCUGGGGUAACAUAAUUAAGAAGGGGAAAAAGAGCUGCUGCUCAACAGCAAUUGCAGGUGGGAAAGAGGAGAGACAAUGUGAGAU